rnacentral:rRNA from 1 species
CCUACGGGAGGCAGCAGUGGGGAAUAUUGGACAAUGGGCGAAAGCCUGAUCCAGCCAUGCCGCGUGUGUGAAGAAGGCCUUCGGGUUGUAAAGCACUUUCAGUGGGGAAGAAAGCCUUGGGGCUAAUACCCUCGAGGAAGGACAUCACCCACAGAAGAAGCACCGGCUAACUCCGUGCCAGCAGCCGCGGUAAUACGGAGGGUGCGAGCGUUAAUCGGAAUUACUGGGCGUAAAGCGCGCGUAGGCGGUCUGAUAAGCCGGUUGUGAAAGCCCCGGGCUCAACCUGGGAACGGCAUCCGGAACUGUCAGGCUAGAGUGCAGGAGAGGAAGGUAGAAUCCCCGGUGUAGCGGUGAAAUGCGUAGAGAUCGGGAGGAAUACCAGUGGCGAAGGCGGCCUUCUGGACUGACACUGACGCUGAGGUGCGAAAGCGUGGGUAGCAAACAGGAUUAGAUACCCGAGUAGUC